AAAUCCGCUUUGAUAAUGCUGGGAUGUGAUGGGGAGCGAAAUUUAGUAGCGAAGUAGCUGAUUUCACACUGUCAAGAAAAGUCUCUAUCGAGGUUAAAGGUACCCGUACCGCAAACCGACACAGGUGGGUGAGGAGAGUAUCCUAAGGCCAGCGAGAGAACUGUUGUUAAGGAACUCGGCAAAAUGACCCCGUAACUUAGGGAUAAGGGGUGCCACCAUCAGGUGGCCGCAGAGAAUAGGCCCAAGCGACUGUUUACCAAAAACAUAGGUUUCUGCUAAGUCGCAAGACGAUGUAUAGGAGCUGACGCCUGCCCGGUGCUGGAAGGUUAAGGGGAUCUGUUAGAGCAAUCGAAGCAGUGAACUUAAGCCCCAGUAAACGGCGGCCGUAACUAUAACGGUCCUAAGGUAGCGAAAUUCCUUGUCGGGUAAGUUCCGACCCGCACGAAAGGCGUAACGAUUUGGGCACUGUCUCAACAACAGACUCGGUGAAAUUGUAAUUCCGGUGAAGAUGCCGGAUACCUGCGACAGGACGGAAAGACCCCAUGGAGCUUUACUGUAGCUUGACAUUGGGUCUUGGUACUACAUGUACAGGAUAGGUGGGAGGCUUUGAAACCAGGACGCCAGUUUUGGCGGAGCCAUCCUUGGGAUACCACCCUUGUAGUACUGGGACUCUAACCAUAGGCCAUGAAUCUGGUCUUGGGACACUGUCAGGUGGGCAGUUUGACUGGGGCGGUCGCCUCCCAAAAGGUAACGGAGGCGCUCAAAGGUUCUCUCAGUACGGUCGGAAAUCGUACGUAGAGUGUAAAGGCAAAAGAGAGCUUGAUUGCAAGACAUACAGGUCGAGCAAGGAUGAAAAUCGGACUUAGUGAUCCGGUGGUUCUGCGUGGAAGGGCCAUCGCUCAACGGAUAAAAGCUACCCUGGGGAUAACAGGCUUAUCUCCCCCAAGAGUCCACAUCGACGGGGAGGUUUGGCACCUCGAUGUCGGCUCAUCACAUCCUGGGGCUGUAGUAGGUCCCAAGGGUUGGGCUGUUCGCCCAUUAAAGUGGUACGCGAGCUGGGUUCAGAACGUCGUGAGACAGUUCGGUCCCUAUCCGUCGCAGGCGUAGGAAAUUUGAGAAGACCUGUCCUUAGUACGAGAGGACCGGGAUGGACG
rnacentral:rRNA from 1 species